GACGAACCGUACGAACGUUAUUCGGAAUCACUGGGCUUAAAGGGUGCGUAGGCGGUCCGGUAAGUUGGGUGUGAAAUCCCUCGGCUCAACCGAGGAAUGGCGCUCAAAACUGUCGGGCUAGAGGGAGACAGAGGUGAGCGGAACUUAGGGUGGAGCGGUGAAAUGCGUUGAUAUCCUAAGGAACACCAGUGGCGAAAGCGGCUCACUGGGUCUCUUCUGACGCUGAGGCACGAAAGCUAGGGGAGCGAACGGG
rnacentral:rRNA from 1 species